rnacentral:rRNA from 1 species
GACGAACGCUGGCGGCGUGCUUAACACAUGCAAGUCGAACGGAAAGGCCUGCUUUCCCUUGUGGAUUGCGGGUACUCGAGUGGCGAACGGGUGAGUAACACGUGAGUGAUCUGCCCCCAACUUGGGUAUAAGCCUGGGAAACUGGGUCUAAUUCCCGAUAGGACUGCAGGGUGGUGCCUGUGGUGGAAAACGAUUUUCUAGUGGUUGGGGAUGAGCUCGCGGCCUAUCAGCUUGUUGGUGGGGUAAUGGCCUACCAAGGCGGCGACGGGUAGCCGGCCUGAGAGGGGGGACGGCCACAUUGGGACUGAGAUACGGCCCAGACUCCUACGGGAGGCAGCAGUGGGGAAUAUUGCACAAUGGGCGGAAGCCUGAUGCAGCGACGCCGCGUGGGGGAUGACGGCCUUCGGGUGGUAAACUCCUUUCGACCGCGAGGAAGCCACCUGGUUGGAAGGGUGGUGACGGUAGUGGUAGAAGAAGCACCGGCUAACUACGUG